rnacentral:rRNA from 1 species
ACAGAGGAGGCAAGCGUUGUUCGGAAUCACUGGGCUUAAAGCGCGUGUAGGCGGCCGAGUAAGUGUUAUGUGAAAGCCCGCGGCUCAACCGCGGAACGGCACGGCAAACUGCUCGGCUUGAGGUCGGUAGAGGUGCCUGGAACUCUAGGUGGAGCGGGGAAAUGCGUAGAUAUCUAGAGGAACGCCGGAGGCGAAAGCGGGGGACUGGGGCGAUUCUGAGGCUGGGGCGCGGGAGGGUGGGGGGGGGGGAG